rnacentral:rRNA from 1 species
UACGAAGGGGGCUAGCGUUGCUCGGAAUCACUGGGCGUAAAGCGCACGUAGGCGGCUUUCUAAGUCAGGGGUGAAAUCCUGGAGCUCAACUCCAGAACUGCCUUUGAUACUGGAGAGCUAGAGUCCGGAAGAGGUGAGUGGAACUGCGAGUGUAGAGGUGAAAUUCGUAGAUAUUCGGAAGAACACCAGUGGCGAAGGCGGCUCACUGGUCCGGUACUGACGCUGAUGUGCGAAAGCGUGGGGAGCAAACAGG